UGGGCAACCUGCCCUCAGCUCUGGGAUAACUCCAAGAAAUUGGGGCUAAUACCGGAUAUGACUGCUGACCGCAUGGUCUGGUGGUGGAAAGAUCUAUCGGCUGGGGAUGGGCCCGCGGCCUAUCAGCUUGUUGGGUGGGGUAGUGGCCUACCAAGGCGACGACGGGUAGCCGGCCUGAGAGGGUGAUCGGCCACAUUGGAACUGAGACACGGUCCAGACCUCCGUACGGGA
rnacentral:rRNA from 1 species